rnacentral:rRNA from 1 species
CCUACGGGCGGCAGCAGUGAGGAAUAUUGGUCAAUGGGCGCGAGCCUGAACCAGCCAAGUAGCGUGAAGGAUGACUGUCCUAUGGAUUGUAAACCUCUUUUAUCAAGGAACAAAGGGCGCCACGCGUGGCGUUCCGAGAGUACCCUAUGAAAAAGCAUCGGCUAACUCCGUGCCAGCAGCCGCGGUAAUACGGAGGAUCCGAGCGUUAUCCGGAUUUAUUGGGUUUAAAGGGAGCGCAGGCGGGAUGUCAAGUCAGCUGGUAAAAUUGGCGGCUCAACCGUAUUAUUGCAGUUGAUACUGGUCUUCUUGAGUGAAGGAGAAGUAGGCGGAAUGCGUGGUGUAGCGGUGAAAUGCUUAGAUAUCACGAAGAACUCCGAUUGCGAAGGCAGCAUACUG